UUUCCAUUGGCUCAGUUAGUAGAGCAUUGCUCUUAUAAAACAAACGUGAGUUCAAACCCCAAGGAACU